rnacentral:rRNA from 1 species
ACAACUUUUAGCAACGGAUCUCUUGGCUCUCGCAUCGAUGAAGAACGCAGCGAAAUGCGAUAAGUAAUGUGAAUUGCAGAAUUCAGUGAAUCAUCGAAUCUUUGAACGCACCUUGCGCCCUCUGGUAUUCCGGAGGGCAUGCCUGUUUGAGUGUCAUUA